GUACACGUUUCAGCGGUGCAAACUCAACAUAUGUGGCGCAAGUGGCGCUAAUAAUCCAAGAAGCGGAAGCAGCGGAUCAGGAAUAUAUCAAGGGAGAUAGGGUCCGUUGAAGAUAUACAUCAACGGUACCAAAGUUUUGGUGGCGAACGUAGAGAAGGUUUGGGACAGUUCUUUGUCCGUCGAAAAUCGAAAUGCAGAUGUUAACGAAGGGGAAGACGUGGAUAAUUUAAAAUUGUUCUACGACGACCUUACUAAAUACAACAGCUUCAAUUUGGACGUGGGUCAGCAGGACAAUGUAAUUUCCACGUCGUUGCUAGAAACACCGG